AUAUUGUUUGCUGAAUGAAGGCUGUUUCUUGAGAAGGAGUGUUCUGCAGCCAGAGAUCUAAUCACCAAUUUGGAUGAAGAUACCCUGUUGGACAAAACCUUCGAUCAGUUUGAUGCUUGGAAUCUGACACAUACAGUGACAGUGCAGCAUUAAAGAGAAUUCAUCAAGUUAAAACAGGUGGAUACUCCCAUUUUGAAGACUAAGAUGGAAAUGAGGCUGUUGAAGCUAAGUGGAUGAAGGGGUUUACCCGCUUGCCUGUAUGGUGGACAGUUCCUGAUGGUUUCAAG